rnacentral:rRNA from 1 species
UACGUAGGGGGCAAGCGUUGUCCGGAAUCAUUGGGCGUAAAGAGCGUGUAGGCGGUCCGGUAAGUCAGCUGUGAAAGUCAAGGGCUCAACCCUUGAAAGCCGGUUGAUACUGUCGGGCUAGAGUCCGGAAGAGGCGAGUGGAAUUCCCGGUGUAGCGGUGAAAUGCGCAGAUAUCAGGAGGAACACCGGUGGCGAAGGCGGGUCUCUGGGCCGUAACUGACGCUGAGGAGCGAAAGCGUGGGGAGCGAACAGG